rnacentral:rRNA from 1 species
CCCCUAGACGUUCUGGGCUGCACGCGCGCUACAAUAAUACGCACAGCGAGUAUCACCGAGCUCGAAAGGGCAAGGUAGACAAUAGAAAAGGUACUGUAAUGGUUAUAGAUCCUUGUAAUUAUUGAUCUUCAACGAGGAAUUCCUAGUAAGUAUGUGUCAUCAUCACGCACUGAUUACGUCCCUGCCCUUUGUACACACCGCCCGUCGCUCCUACCGAUUGGGUGAGCCGAUGAAACUCUCGGAUGUAGGCUAUUCAUAGCCCGCAGAAGAGAUUUGAAUCGUAGCGCUUAGAGGAAGGAGAAGUCGUAACA